GACGAACGCUGGCGGCGUGGAUUAGGCAUGCAAGUCGAACGGUAUCAUCCUUUCGGGGGUGAGAGAGUGGCGAACUGGUGAGUAACACGUAGGUUAUCUACCCUCAAGACGGGGACAACCCAGGGAAACUUGGGCUAAUACCGGAUGUGAGCAACUUUUAGUUGUUUGAAAGGUGGCGUAAGCUGUCGCUUGGGGAUGAGCCUGCGUCCUAUUAGUUAGUUGGUGAGGUAACGGCUCACCUAGGCAAUGAUAGGUAGGCGGCCUUAACGGGUGGUCGCCCCACACUGGGAUUGAGAUACGGCCCAGACUCCUACGGGAGGCAGCAGUCGAGAAUAGUCUACAAUGGUCGGAAGACUGAUAGUGCGACGCCGCGUGAACGAUGAAUCCCUUCGGGGUGUAAAGUUCUUUUAUAUGUGAGCAGUGCUUCUUAUAUUAACAGUAUGGGGAGAGAGAUAUUAGCAUAUGAAUAAGCAACGGCUAAACUCCGUGCCAGCAGCCGCGGU
rnacentral:rRNA from 1 species